GUAUAUUUACACAUUUCCUGUUUUCCUAAGCGAGCAGAUCUGUCAAUGAAACGCUGAUUAUUCUGGUAAUUUCCUUGGAUGACAUGUUACAUUUGUGAGGCAGCUUCAUUCCUAGAUGACCUGUGCUGGACCAGAGCCAAGAGGACUGACCCAGUCUCCAGAGCUUGUCCUAACUGAACACAGACCACACAAGUGAAGGAGAUGACCCAUCAAGGCCUAUUCCUGUAUCAGCACUGGCACAAGCAAAGGCUGUAGUCCAGUCAUACCA